rnacentral:rRNA from 1 species
UGGGGAAUAUUGGACAAUGGGCGAAAGCCUGAUCCAGCCAUGCCGCGUGUGUGAAGAAGGUCUUCGGAUUGUAAAGCACUUUAAGUUGGGAGGAAGGGCAGUAAGCGAAUACCUUGCUGUUUUGACGUUACCGACAGAAUAAGCACCGGCUAACUCUGUGCCAGCAGCCGCGGUAAUACAGAGGGUGCGAGCGUUAAUCGGAUUUACUGGGCGUAAAGCGUGCGUAGGCGGCUAAUUGAGUCGGAUGUGAAAUCCCCGAGCUUAACUUGGGAAUUGCAUUCGAUACUGGUUAGCUAGAGUGUGGGAGAGGAUGGUAGAAUUCCAGGUGUAGCGGUGAAAUGCGUAGAGAUCUGGAGGAAUACCGAUGGCGAAGGCAGCCAUCUGGCCUAACACUGACGCUGAGGUGCGAAAGCGUGGGGAGCAAACAGG